AACCAUAGAAACCUGCGGAGUACCUGCGGAAGGAUCAUUACAGAGUUCAUGCCCUCACGGGUAGAUCUCCCACCCUUGAAUACUAUACCUUUGUUGCUUUGGCGGGCCGCUUUGGCUACUGGCUCUGGCUAGUAAGUGCCCGCCAAAGAACCCCAAAACUCUGAAUAUUAGUGUCGUCUGAGUACUAUAUAAUAGUUAAAACUUUCAGCAACGGAUCU
rnacentral:misc_RNA from 1 species